rnacentral:rRNA from 1 species
AGUUAAAACUUUCAACAAUGGAUCUCUUGGUUCCGGCAUCGAUGAAGAACGCAGCGAAAUGCGAUAACUAAUGUGAAUUGCAGAAUUCAGUGAAUCAUCGAGUCUUUGAACGCACAUUGCGCCCCCUGGUAUUCCGGGGGGCAUGCCUGUCCGAGCGU